rnacentral:rRNA from 1 species
GACGAACGCUGGCGGCGUGCUUAACACAUGCAAGUCGAACGGUGAAGCGCCUUCCUUUUUGGUGGGUGUGGAUGAGUGGCGAACGGGUGAGUAACACGUGAGUAACCUGCCCCCUUCUUCUGGAUAACCGCAUGAAAGUGUGGCUAAUACGGGAUAUUCUGGGUCUGUCGCAUGAUGGGUCUGGGAAAGAUAUUGUUUCGGUGGGGAUGGGCUCGCGGCCUAUCAGCUUGUUGGUGGGGUGAUGGCCUACCAAGGCGGUGACGGGUAGCCGGCCUGAGAGGGUGGACGGUCACACUGGGACUGAGACACGGCCCAGACUCCUACGGGAGGCAGCAGUGGGGAAUAUUGCACAGUGGGCGCAAGCCUGAUGCAGCGACGCCGCGUGAGGGAUGGAGGCCUUCGGGUUGUGAACCUCUUUCGCCAGUGAAGCAGGCCUGCCUCGUUUGUGGGUGGGUUGACGGUAGCUGGAUAAGAAGCGCCGGCUAACUACGUG